rnacentral:rRNA from 1 species
AGCGAACGCUGGCGGCAGGCCUAACACAUGCAAGUCGAGCGGGCAUCCUUGUGGUGUCAGCGGCAGACGGGUGAGUAACGCGUGGGAACGUGCCCUGCGGUUCGGAAUAACUCAGGGAAACUUGAGCUAAUACCGGAUACGUGCUAGAGCAGAAAGGUUUAUCUGCCGAAGGAUCGGCCCGCGUCUGAUUAGUUAGUUGGCGAGGUUACGGCUCACCAAGGCGACGAUCAGUAGCUGGUCUGAGAGGAUGAUCAGCCACACUGGGACAGAGACACGGCCCAGACUCCUACGGGAGGCAGCAGUGGGGAAUAUUGGACAAUGGGGGCAACCCUGAUCCAGCCAUGCCGCGUGAGUGAUGACGGCCUUAGGGUUGUAAAGCUCUUUUCUCCGGGACGAUAAUGACGGUACCGGAGGAAUAAGCCCCGGCUAACUUCGUG